UCGGCAGCCCCCCGCGGCCCCCCGGCCCCCCGUGCCAAGGCUGGUGGCUGGCAGAAGGGCUGCCUGCGCCUGGCAGGGCUCCGUCAGCUGCGGGAGGAUCCCUGUGCCGCGCUCGCUGCCAAUUUCCCUGCGAGCUGGCACCGCAGGCGGCUCCGGAGGCACCGGCAGAGAAGGCUGGGGAGGACGGAUUGUGAAAGGGAGAGAGGAGAAAAAAAAAAAAAUAAUGGACACAUGCCAUCGCUGGAGCGGUGAGGCUGCCAAAACGCCAGCAGGCAGCGGGGGCCAAAACCCACCGGCGGCGGAGAGGAGGGUCUGGCAGCGCGUCCCGGCGUGGGCACAUGGAGGACGGGCAGCGUGGAGGAGGCACGGCGUGGCUGAGGCAGGACGGGCGGCAGCGGAGGAGCCGCACAGGACAGAGGUCUCAGGAGCUGCCCCAGCCUGGCCCUGGAUGUCGCUGUGCCACCCCUCCUGUUGUGGGACAAUCCUGGGGCUGUGGCUCAGGUGAUGUGAUGGAUGUGGAUGUGCCACCAGCCUGGUCCUUGCUGGGAUGUGCCAACAACUGCUGAGCACCGAACCUGCAGGGAUGUGGCAAUGGGAAUGGGAUUUCCCCUGUGACCCUGCUGCAGCCACCAGGAUCCAGCAUCCCUGGGAGUGAGGAAGCUUUUUCCAUGCAGAGGUUUAUCCAUGCACAGGUUUAUCCAUGCAGAGGUUUAUCCAUGCAGAGGUUUAUCCAUGAAAGCACAAGUGGAGCUUUACCAAACAUUUCGAGGGCCUGUGGCAGCCUUGGGGCCCGGAUUCUGCCUGGGAAGGAGGAACGUGGUGCCAGCCCUGCUCCAGACCACAGGAGCACAGGAGCUGAUGCCAGCACCACCCAGGGGACCUGCCUGGACACUCUGAGGGCUGUGCCAGGCCCUGCUCUGCUCACCUGGAGCCCCAUCAGCCCUGAUCCCAGCCCUUCUCCUUGUCCUGGGACGCUCUGUGUGGUGUGCCCCAUCCCCACCCCACACCAGGAGCUGAGGGUGCCAUCCCACCCUUCCAUCCCCGAGGAACUGGGCUGGGAAAUGCUGUCGGGGGGCUGCUUUUGGAGGGGCCAGGGGAGCUGGAGAGGUUCUGGGGUGCUGGGUGCUGCGGGUGCCCGGGGGCAGGCGGGAGCUGCCGGUCACUGCCAGGUUACAUCUGCCGGGGCACGCAAGAGUGACUCCAGAUGCAUUAGAAGUGCCGUGCUCCAAUUUCAAUUUCAUCGUCUCACAAUCAUUUUCAGGCUCCUCUUAGUGCCACAUUAACGAAGCCUGCUCGUUUGAAUGCAUAAUUAGCCCAAGCAUUCUACCUCGCUAAUUUCGAAGCAAGGGGGGGGAGAGAAGGGGGGGAAUUUGCAUAUUAAUUUAGCAGAGGGAGAGAAAAACUGUUUACCACUUGCUUCUUGCUGUUGAUCACAGCGGACUUAACUCUUUCCCGGGUGCCAUCUGGAGCUGCGGAGCCGGCGCCCAGCCGGCACGUGGGACGGGCUGCAAAGGUUACACACAGCAAUUAAAUCCUCCCGACCACCCGGGCUGCCCCGGAGCUCACUGCGAGCGCUGGGGCUGCGGCUCCUGAGAGCGCAGGGCACACAAAGAGAGGCUGAGGUGGAGGUGGCAGCUCCAAGGUGCCCCCCUGCCCUCCUCCCCGUGUCACUUCAGGGUGACAGGGUGCCAUCCCGGAGCUGUCCCUGCCAUCCUUGGCAAAGCCAGAGGAGGGAUUCCCAACAGUGCCAUCCCUUCUAUGAGGAGUGUUUGGAUCCACUCUGUCAUCCCCUUCAAAGGGACACAUUUGGCCUCAGGUCUCUCUGAUUUUUAACAUCAUCCACCCAUAAAUGAUGUUGGAUGAGCGUGUGCCUUCCCCAGGAUCCCUCUGCAGGAGGAUCAGGGCACGCUGAUCCACAGAUGCUGCACACAAAGAGCACCCGAGGAGCUGGGUGGGCAGAGCUGAGCACUGAGAACUCCUGACAGCCCCCCAAACACCAUCUCCCUUUGUUUGGGAGUCUGUGGGCGUCUUGAGCCGAGGUUGGAGGUAAUUUGUCUGUCUCCUGCAGCGGGCUGUCAUCUCGCAUCUGUGAGCCAGUUCCAUUUGCACUGCCAUUAAAAAAAUCUCAGGUCUGACAGGUAGUAAAAAAAUACAUUGAAAAAACAGCAACAGGAUGUUGGGAAUAUCACGGGCUCGUCGCUGCUGGACCACCCUCACACCCGGCUAUUGCUGUCCAGGUAUUGCUGGAUGUGAGGGUGGUCACAACCUAUUUUGGCCUUAGGACGUGUAUCCCCAGGGAUAUCCCCUUUGCACCUCCAUCCCAGCUCCCCAAAAUGCUUUCCUCACCCCUGGGGACCGCCUGCCCCAUCAUCCACCCUGUCUGGCUGGCUCGGAGCCAUCCCAGCGCGUCACAGCGUUUUGGGGACACCUCCAUCCUCGGCAUCCCUGUGCGACUCCCGCAUCCCAGGCGCACGGAGCGAUGCCCGGGGGUUUAUCCUGCCCCUGCUCCGGAGCUGCGGGGAAGGGACACAUCCCAAAUGUGCCUCUGGGGUCUCCGGAGUGGCCGGAGCGGUGCCGGCGCUGCGGAGGAGCGCGGGGCUGGCUCGGAAAGGGUUAACAGUUGAUUACAGCCUUUGUCUCCGCAUCAGUGUACAUAAUGCGACCGCAUUUGCAUACUGCAGUGUGCGCUCAAUUAAAAUGAACUUUUAAUUU